GCCCGGAUGGUCUAGUGGUAUGAUUCCUGCUGUAAGUUGCCAUGCUUCUAUGAUACCUCCUAAAACAACCACUAAUAACAACACCAGUUGGGAUCCCAAGUCUUAAAUGCAGGAGGCCCCGCGUUCGAAUCGCGGUUCGGGCC